AACGCGAAGAACCUUACCUGGGCUUGAACCGCACAGGACCAGCUUCAGAAAUGAGGCCUUCCCGCAAGGGACCUGUGUAGAGGUGCUGCAUGGCUGUCGUCAGCUCGUGCCGUGAGGUGUUGGGUUAAGUCCCGCAACGAGCGCAACCCUCGUCGUGUGUUGGUCCACAAGAUCUCUCACACGAGACCGCCGGUGAGAAGCCGGAGGAAGGUGGGGAUGACGUCAAGUCAGCAUGGCCCUUACGUCCCGGGCUACACACGUGCUACAAUGCGCCGAACAACGAGCUGCGAACCCGCGAGGGUAAGCCAAUCUCUUAAAUCGGCGCUCAGUUCGGAUUGAAGGCUGCAACUCGCCUUCAUGAAGUCGGAAUCGCUAGUAAACGCAGAUCAGCUACGCUGCGUUGAAUACGUUCCCGGGCCUUGUACACACCGAUAGC
rnacentral:rRNA from 1 species